rnacentral:rRNA from 1 species
GACGAAGGGGGCUAGCGUUGUUCGGAAUUACUGGGCGUAAAGCGCGCGUAGGCGGGUCCGUAAGUCGAUUGUGAAAGCCCUGGGCUUAACCUGGGAAUUGCAGUCGAUACUGCGGAUCUUGAAUGCCUGAGAGGAUGGCGGAAUUCCCGGUGUAGAAGUGAAAUUCGUAGAUAUCGGGAAGAACACCUGAGGCGAAGGCGGCUAUCUGGCGGUGCAUUGACGCUGAUGCGCGAAAGCGUGGGGAGCAAACAGG